GUUAGUGAAAUCGCGUGUGUUCGUGAAAAAGGCAACAUCCGGCGUUUGUCCAACACGGUCUUGGACAAAUUUGCCGGGUGACCGAACCGGAACGGCUCUGGGAUGGCGGAAUUUUCAUAUUUGGGGACUUCUUCUACCAGGCCCGGCGCCUGCUGCGGACACUUCCGGCCGGAUUUGUUCAGGAUGGUCGUUUCGUCUGGAGGCGAAAAUCGUUAGGGGCCUAUUCCACUGAGGAUUGUUCUUCAUAAAUACA